rnacentral:rRNA from 1 species
AUUGAACGCUGGCGGCAGGCCUAACACAUGCAAGUCGAGCGGAUGAAGGGAGCUUGCUCCUGGAUUCAGCGGCGGACGGGUGAGUAAUGCCUAGGAAUCUGCCUGGUAGUGGGGGAUAACGUCCGGAAACGGGCGCCAAUACCGCAUACGUCCUGAGGGAGAAAGUGGGGGAUCUUCGGACCUCACGCUAUCAGAUGAGCCUAGGUCGGAUUAGCUAGUUGGUGGGGUAAAGGCCUACCAAGGCGACGAUCCGUAACUGGUCUGAGAGGAUGAUCAGCCACACUGGAACUGAGACACGGUCCAGACUCCUACGGGAGGCAGCAGUGGGGAAUAUUGGACAAUGGGCGAAAGCCUGAUCCAGCCAUGCCGCGUGUGUGAAGAAGGUCUUCGGAUUGUAAAGCACUUUAAGUUGGGAGGAAGGGCAGUAAGUUAAUACCUUGCUGUUUUGACGUUACCAACAGAAUAAGCACCGGCUAACUUCGUG